AUUUAUUUAGUAUAAAAAGUAUAAUUAACUUCCAAUUAAAGGGUCUAAAUAACAUAGAAUAAAUA
rnacentral:tRNA from 1 species